rnacentral:ncRNA from 2 species
CCCUUAACUGGCCUCGACGGUUCCCCUACCCAUGAGGUGGAGGGGAAUAAUAGGGAACACGGUGCGGACGACCCGCAUGGGACCAAAACCGUGGCUGCCCCCGCAACUGUAAGCGGAUUGCCGUCCAUCCUCGUGGCGCAUAGCGCCAUGCCACUGUGCGGACAGCACGGGAAGGCAGAUGGACAGCGGAUAUUCGUGAGCCAGGAGACCUGCCGUCACCUAUCGAUCCAU